rnacentral:rRNA from 1 species
UACGAAGGGGGCUAGCGUUGCUCGGAAUCACUGGGCGUAAAGGGCGCGUAGGCGGCGUUUUAAGUCGGGGGUGAAAGCCUGUGGCUCAACCACAGAAUGGCCUUCGAUACUGGGACGCUUGAGUAUGGUAGAGGUUGGUGGAACUGCGAGUGUAGAGGUGAAAUUCGUAGAUAUUCGCAAGAACACCAGUGGCGAAGGCGGCUCACUGGCCCAUAACUGACGCUGAGGCACGAAAGCGUGGGGAGCAAACAGG